AGAGCGAACGCUGGCGGCAGGCCUAACACAUGCAAGUCGAACGGAUCCUUCGGGAUUAGUGGCGGACGGGUGAGUAACACGUGGGAACGUGCCUUUUGGUUCGGAACAACUCAGGGAAACUUGAGCUAAUACCGGAUGUGCCCUUCGGGGGAAAGAUUUAUCGCCAUUAGAGCGGCCCGCGUCUGAUUAGCUUGUUGGUGAGGUAAAGGCUCACCAAGGCUACGAUCAGUAGCUGGUCUGAGAGGAUGAUCAGCCACACUGGGACUGAGACACGGCCCAGACUCCUACGGGAGGCAGCAGUGGGGAAUCUUGCGCAAUGGGCGAAAGCCUGACGCAGCCAUGCCGCGUGAAUGAUGAAGGUCUUAGGAUUGUAAAAUUCUUUCACCGGGGACGAUAAUGACGGUACCCGGAGAAGAAGCUCCGGCUAACUUCGCGCCAGCAGCCGC
rnacentral:rRNA from 1 species